AAUUGACAUUUCAUGGCCAUUUGCUAUUUUUAAGAUCCUACUAAUUAUUCCUUUUAUCCAAACAACAACCUCUUAAAGGGCUUUUAUUAUUAACUUAGUUUUAUAGAUUUUAAGAAUGAAAGCUUAGAGAGAUGACUUUGUCUGCCCAGAUAGCCCAUAAAUGUCAAAGGACAGGAAAACAGUCUUAAAACUCUGUUCUUAGCUAUCAUACCUUUGUAAGGUCUGCUUCAGCAGGAAGUGUUGUAGUCACACAACUAGAAUAAACUUCAGAAACUUAAUGUCUACUUGCAGGUUGCUUACCUCACAGAGGCUAUGCCAGGGCACGGCACGAACCACUCACAGAUGUUUUUGCUUGAAGCUGUUACAUAUCUCCUUGGAAAUUUGCUUCAUAAUCCUAACAAGAAGUUGUACCCGUCAGCACCUGCUGAGGGCUUUGUUGUCCCAACUCUGACAGGGCACCACUUUCAGAUAAAACAUAGACCUGAAUGGCAUCAUCCAGUAUCCAAGGAAACCAUGUAAGUACCUCUCUCACUGUGUACUUCUCUUAUUCAGAGUUUAAAAGC
rnacentral:lncRNA from 1 species